CCGAGACGAUGCUGGAAGGUUUUCAACAAGAUGAACAUGACAACCUCAGGCCGACAGCUUCCACCUUCAUCAUCCUCUUCUUCCUGAGUAUUUUCUACAGUGCCACGGUCACUCUAUUUAAGGUAAAAUGAGUUUAUUACCAUCAGCUUCACCGAUGUUCCUCAUCUGUUUGUGUUUAUCUUCAAUGUCCUGUGAUAGAGUAUGUGAUGUCUUGUUCCACCCAUUGAAGGCAUUCAUGGGAAGUAAACAAUGUAUUGUGCAAUUACAUGAAUUUUAGUGACUUUUCUUAUUGUUAGUCUAUGUUACAAUGUGCCUUUUGUUCAUAAUAUAUAACGUUGUUAUUUCGUGUACUGUCACUCCUCUCUGAUAUUCUUUAUUUGCUGUUUACUAUUUGUGUGGUGUAAUAAUACAGAAAGACAGAGGCUGUUAUAUUUUGUCCUUUUAUUUCAUUCUGUAGAUGAGUAUUUGUGAUCCAAUCCAAUUCCAUAAUGCCUCCAGAUUCUCACUAUUUGUUUGCCCGAAGUAUCAAUAAAUGAUAAAAGUUAGUGAGCUGUUUGAUCUGUGUCUUUCCUGUUCCCUUUGUGUCAAUGCCGCUUUGACUUCUGAUUUCCAAAUUGUUCAGAUUCACAGAAGCUCAGCAUUAAACAAAAGCUGUUGAAUGAA